AUUGAACGCUGGCGGCGUGCCUAAUACAUGCAAGUAGGACGCAGUUGCGAAUGGGUGAGUAACGCGUAGGUAACUACCUAUUAGAGGGGGAUAACUAUUGGACACGAUAGCUAAUACCGCAUACUAGUAGAUGGACCUGCGUUGUAUUAGCUAGUAGGUAGGGUAAAGGCCUACCUAGGCAACGAUACAUAACCGACCUGGGGGGGUGAGCGGACACACUGGGACUGGGAAACGGCCCAGACUCCUACGGGAGGCAGCAGUAGGGAAGCUUCGGCAAUGGGGGGAACCCUGAACGAGCAACGCCGCGUGAGUGAAGAAGGUUUUCGGAUCGUAAAGCUCUGUUGUUAAGGAAGCGGUACUUAACCAGAAAGGGACGGCUAACUACGUGCCAGCAGCCGCGGUAAUAC
rnacentral:rRNA from 1 species